CAGCAGCCACGGUAAAACGAAGGGUGCAAGCGUUACUCGGAAUUACUGGGCGUAAAGCGUGCGUAGGUGGUGGUUUAAGUCCGUUGUGAAAGCCCUGGGCUCAACCUGGGAAUUGCAGUGGAUACUGGGUCACUAGAGUGUGGUAGGGGAUAGUGGAAUUUCCGGUGUAGCAGUGAAAUGCGUAGAGAUCGGGAGGAGCAUCUGUGGCGAAGGCGACUAUCUGGGCCAACACUGACACUGAGGCACGAAAGCGUGGGGAGCAAACAGGAUUAGAUACCCGCGUAGUCCCUGUCUCUUAUAC
rnacentral:rRNA from 1 species